rnacentral:rRNA from 1 species
UGGGGAAUCUUGCACAAUGGAGGAAACUCUGAUGCAGCGACGCCGCGUGAGCGAUGAAGCCCUUCGGGGUGUAAAGCUCUUUCGACGGGAACGAUAAUGACGGUACCCGAAGAAGAAGCUGCGGCUAACUACGUGCCAGCAGCCGCGGUAAUACGUAGGCAGCAAGCGUUGUUCGGAAUUACUGGGCGUAAAGAGUGUGUAGGCGGUGCUCUAAGUCUGUUGUGAAAUCUCCCGGCUUAACCGGGAGGGUGCGGCGGAAACUGGAGUGCUUGAGGGUGGGAGAGGUAAGCGGAAUUCCUGGUGUAGCGGUGAAAUGCGUAGAUAUCAGGAGGAACACCUGUGGUGUAGACAGCUUACUGGACCACUUCUGACGCUGAGACACGAAAGCGUGGGUAGCAAACAG